rnacentral:rRNA from 1 species
AACGUAGGAGACAAACGUUAUCCGGAGUUACUGGGCGUAAAGGGCUCGUAGGUGGCCAACUAAGUCAGACGUGAAAUCCCUCGGCUUAACCGGGGAACUGCGUCUGAUACUGGAUGGCUUGAGUUUGGGAGAGGGAUGCGGAAUUCCAGGUGUAGCGGUGAAAUGCGUAGAGAUGUGGAGGAACACCAGUGGCGAAGGCGACUUUCUGGCCUAUAACUGACGCUGAGGCGCGAAAGCUAGGGGAGCAAACGGG